rnacentral:rRNA from 1 species
AUUGAACGCUGGCGGCAGGCCUAACACAUGCAAGUCGAGCGGAUGAAGGGAGCUUGCUCCUGGAUUCAGCGGCGGACGGGUGAGUAAUGCCUAGGAAUCUGCCUAGUAGUGGGGGAUAACGUCCGGAAACGGGCGCUAAUACCGCAUACGUCCUGAGGGAGAAAGUGGGGGAUCUUCGGACCUCACGCUAUCAGAUGAGCCUAGGUCGGAUUAGCUAGUUGGUGGGGUAAAGGCCUACCAAGGCGACGAUCCGUAACUGGUCUGAGAGGAUGAUCAGUCACACUGGAACUGAGACACGGUCCAGACUCCUACGGGAGGCAGCAGUGGGGAAUAUUGGCCAAUGGGCGAAAGCCUGAUCCAGCCAUGCCGCGUGUGUGAAGAAGGUCUUCGGAUUGUAAAGCACUUUAAGUUGGGAGGAAGGGCAGUAAGUUAAUACCUUGCUGUUUUGACGUUACCAACAGAAUAAGCACCGGCUAACUUCGUG